rfam:Triticum aestivum genome assembly, contig: Triticum_aestivum_CS42_TGACv1_scaffold_306882_4AS
UUGAUGCAAAUGAUGAGACAGAAGUUUUAUGGGUAAUUUGCGUCUGAGGCAUCUCUGUGAUAUUACACUCUUUUCACCUUGGAGAUCUGAUGCAUCCU